AUACAUAUUCUCCUUUCGCU
rnacentral:miRNA from 1 species